rnacentral:rRNA from 1 species
GACGAACGCUGGCGGCGUGCUUAACACAUGCAAGUCGAACGGAGUGGCGAACGGGUGAGUAACACGUGGGUGAUCUGCCUUGCACUUCGGGAUAAGCUUGGGAAACUGGGUCUAAUACCGGAUAGUGCAAGAUGAGCUCGCGGCCUAUCGGCUUGUUGGUGGGGUAAUGGCCUACCAAGGCGUCGACGGGUAGCCGGCCUGAGAGGGUGUACGGCGACAAUGGGACUGCGGUACGGACCAGACUCCUACAGGGGGCAGCAGUGGGGAAUAUUGCGCAGUGAUCGGAAGCCUGAUGCGGCGGCGCCGCGUGUGGAAUGAAGGUCUUCGGGUUGUAAACUCCUUUCGGCAGGGACGCGGUACCUGUAUAAGAAGCACCGGCUAACUACGUGCCAGCAGCCGCGGUAAUUC